rnacentral:rRNA from 1 species
UACGGAGGGUGCAAACGUUGCUCGGAAUCAUUGGGCGUAAAGCGCACGUAGGCGGCUCGUUAAGUCGGUUGUGAAAGCCCUCGGCUCAACCGAGGAAGUGCAAUCGAAACUGGCGAGCUUGAAUAUGGAAGAGGGUCGCGGAAUUCCUGGUGUAGCGGUGAAAUGCGCAGAUAUCAGGAGGAACACCGAUGGCGAAGGCAGGUCUCUGGGCCACUACUGACGCUGAGAAGCGAAAGCGUGGGGAGCGAACAGG